rnacentral:misc_RNA from 1 species
CUUAGUUGAGUUGAGUUGAGUUAAUCACUUUACACCAUACCAAGUGUGAUAGUAAGGGUAGUCACCCAACAAGAAAAUGUCUGUGUGUCUGAGUGGAAUUGCUUUGAUGAAAUUUAUUUGGUGUGACAUUAACUUGUAAACGAUGAGGAAGAUUCCUCUAAGUCCACUGUCCAACCACACCUAUGUUUUAGUAGUCUUAAUUCAGAAUCUAUAAACAUUUCUGCAUUCUAGCUGUUUCCUUGAAGAUAUCUGCUGAAAGUAUGUCUACCUCUGUGUGAAGCUAAUUUCACCGUUUGCUUCAAUUUCUCAAAUGUUGAAUGCAUUUUACUUCACUGAUUGUCUAUCAAAUAGUGUUGUUUAGGAAGGCAAUCAAUUCAUUGUUUAUAUGUUCAUAAAGGGACAGUUGAUUUAUGUACAUAUGUGUGUACAAAAGGAUAAAAUUUUAAAUUUUCUCUUCCCAAAAACCUUUCUUCCCUCAAGGUGACUACUUUUUGUGGGAGAGAUUUACAGUAGCUGUCUAGAGUGUGGCAUGCUUAGCUCUUGAUACCAGUUACUGGCAAUAGAGCUUAUAUUUAAUAAUAAGAGAACCAUUAAAGGGAAGCCAUUAGAAAUAACAUAUUCAAUAAUAAUUGAUAUGCUCAAAUUAGAAUAGCAUAUAUGUUGCUACAAUCUUGUUUCUUGUAGUUGUGAUGAUGUCUUUAUACCACUUACUGGUAGAAGGAAUAGAGAGGGCAAUGUUAUUUGAAUAUCCAAGGGAUGGGUGAAAUGAAAUGCUGGUUUUGAACAGCAACUUUUGAGGUUACACUGUGUUUCUCAAUAUUUUCUGGUGUCAGACAUGAGCAAGAAUAAGAGAACCAAAAAUGUUGUCAGUGGGAGAUGUUAUAUGGGAACUGACAUAUAGAUUGUGUAGUUCUUUUCACCAAUGCUGAAGCUAAAUGAAGUAAAAUCUGCCUAGAUUUCUUGAAAGUGAUGAGUGAUUCCUGACAAAAUUGAUUUGCCAUUAAGCAAACUAAUGUUUAUUCUUGGUGAAUGUUUGUUGUCUUCUUGAUGC